UGGUGGAGUGAUUUGUCUGGUUAAUUCCGUUAACGAACGAGACCUUAACCUGCUAAAUAUGCCGCGCUAACCCGUCCAUCAAAACCUAUGUGUGACUCACGCGGUUCGCUGCACACUAAUGUUGCCCGUUAAACGGUGAUGUUAGGGUGCCGGCAGGGCCCGGGUUCAUGUAGGCGGUAGGGUUCGGCGUCUGUGCUUCUUAGAGGGACUGCUGCGCGCCUAGCCAGCGGAAGUUUGAGGCAAUAACA
rnacentral:rRNA from 1 species